ACUGGCCUGUAACUCAGAUCUCCUGAGUGCUGGGAUUAAAUGUGUACUAUCACACCCAUCUCACUCAAAGCUUCGGUUCAUUCGUGGUUCUGUGCUACUCGAAGAGGACCAUCCUCUGUUUUUGGUUGAUUGCUAUGGAGACUUCAGACCUUGCUCAGACACCUGCUUCCUCUGCCCAAAAAGUCUACUUAGGUGUUUUUACCUUGCAUGCCUGGCUGUAGUGGCUGUCUCCCCAUGAAUAGCUAUGGUGUUUGGGACUGGGACAGAGCCACCCCAAGGCCUGGCGUUGGUCUGACCUACCAUAAGCACUCAGUGGAUAGUGAGCACACAGGAAGCUUUAUUUGGUGAGGGAAUAGUACAAAUGCCACAUUGCAGUGGAACACUGAGCUAGGAUGAGGCCUUGAGUGUUCUUGGGACAAAAGCAUAGGUAUAGGAGUAGCCACCAGCCAUCAAGGGAAAACAGGGCUAAUGAGCACAGCAAAGCUAACAAGAUUCAGGUCAGGGCCCCUAGUGAACCUGAGUCUACUUGCAGAGAAGAUAAGAGCCUGUGGGUGUUGGGGAGAUGGAGUUCAUAAGGCUCCACCCCUCCCUAGGUAGCAACAGGCAGUUAAAAGUUGCUGCUAAGCAGUGAAGCCAAAUUGUUGUUGCUUAUGUAAAGAACCUCCAACUGGUGUUCAUGUUGACAAUUCUGAAUAAAUGCAGAGGAACACACACAAACACACUCUCAUACACACACAAACACACAAAAGUAUGUUGGGAGGAUGAAUUUGAUAGGAAGGAAAAGGGACUAAGAGAAGAUAAAUGGGGGAAUAUGAUUAGGGUACAUUAUAUAUGAAUGAAGUUGUGAAAGAAUAAGAAUAAUUUCAAAACAAAGAAAGAAAGGAAGGAAGAAAAAAAGAAAGGGACAUAAGAGUCUCUCAUUGCCUAGAGCUCAGGAGAAGGGAGGUAAAGCCUGGGUCUUUAGUCUGCCCUAUGACUGACUACUGGAGAAAGAUCUGGAAGACAGUAGAGCCAACGCCUAGCUCUGGGUGUAGGACGAAAAAAGGUGUGCUCCCCCAGAGUUCUGGCCUGAACUCUGAGCACAUCCUCCUUCCAGUCUUCUCCCAGCCCAGCCUGGCACUCUUCUGGCCCCAUGGCUUUCCAUUUUGCUGCCACCCCUAGGGAACUUCCAGAAUCCAGAGCAGGUGUGAUUUGUGAUUACAUUCUCCCUGUACCAACCGCCAUCCUUGGAGAAAGGUGUGUGCAGGAGUACAGAUGGGCGUGAGGUUGGCAAGAGUCUGAUGCCUCUUGGUGUAGCUCCCACUGGUGUGGAGAGGGGCCAACUGUGCUGCCUAGUCCCAGCCUCCCUAGACUUCUCUGGUCUCCACUCUGGCCUUAGUCCUAGGCCCUUGACAAAAAAAAAAAAAGACAAAGCAGGUAACGUAGAGGGUUGGGUCCAGCAGGACUUUGCC
rnacentral:lncRNA from 1 species